rnacentral:rRNA from 1 species
CCUACGGGGGGCAGCAGUCGAGAAUAUUUCACAAUGGGGGAAACCCUGAUGGAGCGACGCCGCGUGGGUGAAGAAGGUCUUCGGAUCGUAAAACCCUGUUGUUAGAGAAGAAAGUGAGUGAGAGUAACUGUUCACGUCUCGACGGUAUCUAACCAGCAAGCCACGGCUAACUACGUGCUAGCAGCCGCGGUAAUACGUAGGUGGCAAGCGUUAUCCGGAGUUAUUGGGCGUAAAGGGAACGCAGGCGGUCUGUUAAGUCUGAUGUGAAAGCCUUCGGCUUAACCGGAGUAGUGCAUUGGAAACUGGGAGUCUUGAGUGCAGAAGAGGUGGGUGGAAUUCCAUGUGUAGCGGUGAAAUGCGUAGAGAUCUGGAAGAACACCAGUGGCGAAGGCGGCUCUCUGGUCUGUAACUGACGCUGAGGUUCGAAAGCGUGGGUAGCAAACAGGAUUAGAUACCCCUGUAGUC